UACGUAGGGGGCAAGCGUUGUCCGGAAUUAUUGGGCGUAAAGCGCGUGUAGGCGGCUCGGUAAGUCUGCUGUGAAAGUCCAGGGCUCAACCCUGGAAUGCCGGUGGAUACUGUCGAGCUAGAGUCCGGAAGAGGCGAGUGGAAUUCCUGGUGUAGCGGUGAAAUGCGCAGAUAUCAGGAGGAACACCGAUGGCGAAGGCAGGUCUCUGGGCCACUACUGACGUGAGAAGCGAAAGCAUGGGGAGCGAACAGG
rnacentral:rRNA from 1 species